rnacentral:miRNA from 1 species
GGGCUGUGGGUCUGUCUCCCCCAGUGCCUGCCUCUUGCCCCAGCGAGGUCAGGCUGGGUCUCAGCUGCCCGAUGCAGGGAAGC